rnacentral:rRNA from 1 species
UACGUAGGGUGCGAGCGUUGUCCGGAAUUAUUGGGCGUAAAGCGCGUGUAGGCGGCUCUCUAAGUCUGGUGUGAAAGCCUGGGGCUUAACCCCAGAAGUGCACUGGAUACUGGAGAGCUAGAGGGCGAGAGAGGAUAAUGGAAUUAAUGGUGUAGGGGUGAAAUCCGUAGAUAUCAUUAGGAACAUCUGUGGCGAAGGCGAUUAUCUGGCUCGCAUCUGACGCUGAGACGCGAAAGCGUGGGGAGCAAACAGG